AUGUGAACUACUGCCUAGUCUGGAUUAGCUGCCAGGAAGCCAAGUCAUGCACCUAGAGAAAGCCCUGGGUGAUUCCCCUCCAUGACAACACCCUGGGCUCCCAGCAGGCACCCAGCCAGACUGGUGGGAUCAACACCCUAUCAAGAGCCACUUCAUUCUCGUAAACACACAAAGCCCCAGAAAGAAAUGGAGCAAAUGUUUCCUAUGCUUUGCUUCCUUGAAGAGGCAGACAAAUAAUUCAAGCCACUGAAUUCACACAGAAAAGCAAAAUUAAGACCUCAACGAAUUUGCCAUCAUAGUUCAAAACCUGUUCAAGAAGAAAUAUUUUCAACAUGAAAGGCAUCUUUUUUAUUUGCGUUCUUACUAUGACAUUGUCCAGGAGGUCAAUUACUGUUAUUAUGUACAAACACAUUUAAUAUUGUAUUAAGAUAUAUUCAGGUCUUCUGAACUUUAUCUAGAAGAACAAGUAGCUCCACUAUUUAACAGACUUAGGCUUUGAAAAUGGGGUUUAAUAUCUCAUGACAUCUAAUACCUACAGAUCAGCCUUUCAAGAAAACGAUACCAGGAAUUUUGCAGAGCACCUGUUUUCAGGCAGACUAUUUGUUUCCAAGACAGCAUAAAUCACCAAGUGUCACUGAGAAAGUGAGGAGAAAAACAGAAAGGAGCACCAGGGAGAGCACUGCAAGAGCUCUUCCAAAGCAUGCAAAGCUUUCUAUGAAUUGUGAAAUUAAGAUGACAGUGUUACAGAAAUGGAGGAAACAUGGAACAUUUGAAGGCCCACUGACUGCAUAUGAGAAGAUAGCAGAGAAAAGCAGCAACCAUCAUAUGCCUUAAGAAAAUGCUAGCAUUAAACACAGCCAUGUUUUCCUCUAGAAGAUGCACAAGUCCCAAGAAAGACAGUAUGCAACUUGCAUGCAGCUGUGACAGAUUGCUGUGUAAAUGAUCUGUGCAAGACUAAGAACUUUCCUUCACAGCAAGUUUAACAUUUUAAGAAAUGCCUUUAUAUCUGUAAAGGAAAAAGAAGAAGGUGGGGGUGAAGUUGCCUCAUAAGAUUUUCAGAGAGCUCUUACCCAUAGAAAUAAUGAAUGUAUUUUCAAAUCUGUGUACAGAUGUUUCACAAGGAGCUACAGCUUUCUGCAGUGGAGUACAACAAUGCCUCACUCAGGUGCACGGUGUUAACCUGCUGCCAUGAAGGUGGUCUGGGUAAGAGUGCUAUGUUCUUUUUGAAAAGGAAGAAAAAGCACUGCUAUCAUCUUCCCAGCUUUGGCAGGGCAAAUGCCAAAUUUUUCAACAAAACCAUAAAAAACAACUUUCACCACUACCAUAAUUUGAUUAGGAGCAUAACUGCAAAAACAAGUUUAAGCAACCAAGAGAAAAUGUUUACAAAGUGCUAUGUCUGUUCUUGCCUAUUUAAAAAUUAACUAUAUCGUGGCCAAAUCCAGGACAUAAAGAAAAGUAGGAUUGGAAAUGAAGCCCUUUUUAUUUCUAAUCAUGUUCUUCAAAAGUCCUGCCUGCUUCCAGGCUAUGCUUGAGAGAAUCAUGUGUUACUUAAAACUGAGUUAAUGGAACAAGCAGCAGUCAGAGCAGCCCAGCUUAGAUUGCAUGGCAGUGCUGAGGAAGCUGAAGGUGCCUACAAAUUUGUUAUCCCUAAUAUCAAAGAUCAAAAGAGUAAAGUGCUGCUCUGCAGCACAGAACAUAAAUUACUUUAUAAGGGAAUUCUCAUGCAUCCUGAUGAGAACUGGCAGACACUAAUAGGCAGUAAAAUAAUUUCUCUAGAAGUUCACUUCUGCAGUUUGUUUGCAUACCUCUCUGGGAUAGAAGUAAAAUUUGCUAGUGUUUCCCCCUGAAUCCUCCUCCCAUGCCUUGAAAACAAUGAAAUUCUAUUUGAAUUAGGACAACAGGAGAGGCAAUUUAAAGGGGCACUAAAGAUUCAGUCUCUUAAUCACAACUGUGACAAAAUGCUGUUAUCCUUGCCAGCAAUUCCCUGGCAAUUUACAGUACUCCAGUGUAAAAAAAGGAGACCUUGCAUUGCAAAGAAACCUGACUAGAUAACCAGGUCUUCAUCCACUGAUUCCCCUUUCCUGGCACAUUGCACACAUCCUGGGGAUCACCAGGCACUCUGCCAUCCUGAAGCCAUUCAGGAGCUACGUUCUGACCCUGACAUUGAAUUUAAAGUUAUUUAGAAAGUGAAGUUAGUGCAGAGGCUGGCUUCUGAAUAACCCAUUUAAUGAGAAGGGCAUUUCAGUAGGACUGUGUGAAUGCACACCAGCAGCCCCAUUAGGCUGCAAUAGCACCUCAAGAGUUUUUAACAUAGGGGCAACCUAAAACCACUCUGCCUGAACUGUGGUUUCUGCUGCUCGCCAAAAGGGAUUCUCUUCCUGCAUAUAGGAUAGAAAUUAAAUUGUUGGGCAGGUUUCCCCUGCAAGGUCCUGCAACCCUGGGUUGCCACAGGUCUAGGAGUUGUUUUAGCGUAUAAAAAAAGAAAUACAUAAUUAGUAAUUUGAGAAACAUCCGAGGACUUUGAAGAUAACAUCCCAAAGCAAAGAAGACCUCAGGAAAGAGUUAAGAUUUUUUUCUUUUAUGUCACUGAUGGGCUGAUUUCCUGCUGAACAAUUGCUCAAAUGUAACAAAAAAAUGUUGGAUAGACAAUGGUAAGUUAAAUAGAGUUAAAUAAAGACAUAUUUUUAAUAUCUGCAAUAUAACUGAAGCUAAGUUAAAAUAUAAGGAAAAACAGGUUGUGUAAAGGCCAGGAAAAUACCCCAAGGAUCAAUAUGAACUUCAAAAGGUUGUGAUGUUUUCAACAACUUGUUAAUUGCUGGUAUAUGAGUAAGUGCCAAACCCAAAUCAUUGCUUCAAAUUGUGUUCCAGAGCAAAACACACAGAAAUUUCCAACCUUUGUGAAGCAACACAAAUAAAAGACUCCACAUACUUGUGGGUGAUUUUUGAAUUACUUUAACUCUUAUGACUCUGAUUUUUGAAUUAUUGUAAUUCUUAUGACUCUCAUAGGUUGCUUUGCAAAAGAAUCUCUGCUUUCAUUACCAAUCACUGCUGCUUUCAGGCCUUGAAUAUUUGAAUCUUAGCAUUCUUCCUGUGAGAUGCUUAAGUAACUAGAAACUGCAGAUAUGUGUUUUUAGCCUUUAAUCUGGACACUUUUGUCAAGAGAAAAACUAUUAAAUUACCGUAGCUGUUCUUUGGGCAAAACUCGUAAGCCAUCUAUUACCUGUGUUCCUUUAGGGUGAAAACAUUCUCAAAUAGGUUUACCUAUUUCUUUUGCUUCUCUCUUUAAAACUAGCUGAUGGGAAAGGGCAGAAGAAAUGUUAAGUGUGAUUAACUUAUUUUGAAGCAUAUUGUUAAGCCAGCAUCCCAUUCCAGAAUAGCAUAUUUCUGCUGACAGCCUUUUUACACAAGAUCUUCAGCCAGUUUUCCAUGAGAAGUUUCUGACAUCGUGUAAGAAUAAUUUCCUUUUCCUAUGAAGUUUUCUUGAGUUAUUAAUUUAUGUAGAAUGAAGAAAGUAAUUUCAAAACAGACAUGAAGUGGGCAAUUGCUUUUCCCUUCCUGAGGCUGCCGUGGGUUUGUUCUCUUGAAGCAGGAUCUCACCUCUCAGCUGAGGAUUUCUAGCCACAGGAGUUUCUCAGGAGAGCUCUUCAGCUGCAAGUGGAAGGGAAGAUAGAGCUCCUGAAGCCACCUCAGGAUUUCUACUUGGAAGCCUGGUAACAAAACACUGAAGUGAAAAUAAUUGGAAGUAUUUGGGAUUUAGUGUCAAAGUUUCUCAGUUGAGGCAUCUCAAAUAUAUCCAUUGAAAACAUCCUCCUGUCCAUUACUGUCCAGGUACUGUUCAGUGUUUCUGAUCAAAUGAUGUAUUAGCUGGUCUGAGGCUGUUGAAACAUCACUUCUAAUAGGUCAUAGCAUCCUUUAUAAAUAAUUUGGUUUCUGGAGAUUCUCACAUUGCUUUCUUAACUCUGAGAUAAAUUACAGACAAUUUUCUCUUUUCUGAAAAAUACCUAAAAACUGUGGCUCUUGUUUUGAAUCAUGCUUGAAGUUUAAUCCAAAUUUUUAUAGAGGGAGACAAAACUUAUCUCCACCAACACUUUAAAUAUGUUAGGGAUCACUGUUUUCCUCUGGUAUCUCUUUGAGUCAGAAUGUUGAUAAUGUUAGGAAAACUAAUUUUUUUGGAGAAGGACUCAAGGGUGAGAUUUUAUUCAGUUUGCAUCCUUCAGGUUGUUUCUGAAAGGCUCUCUGAAGAAUGAGCACUUGUCUUCUCUGUCCUUCAGGACAGCUGGUUGAUAUCCAUAAGGCUUCCUGGAGCUCUGCUUCCUCUUGGAAGGAAAUCUGGAAUUCUGUGUAUUUAGUUGGUUUUUUCUAUAUUCUUGAGGUUUUUUUACUGGAAUGUUUAAGCUAAAAAUGUAUCAAAAUUCUGUGGUGAAACUUAGGCAUGAGAAUCCAAUUCAAUAACUUAAUUUCUGCUUAAAAUUUCUUUAUCCAGUGCCAUUGAUCUUAUCACAAUGAGUUUGGUCAGUAAAGCUGUGAAUAUGCUUUCUGUGUCUGAGGGCAGGUGGGAAAUGGAGUUUGUGGGGGCUGAAUUAUCCUGGUUUUCUACAGUUCUUGGGGAAUUGUAGGUAUUUAGCACCCCUGAUUAACAGGUAACUUAUUUAGAUGUUUAAUUGUAGGCAGUCAGGAUGAAUUUUGAGUUAUUUUUCUUCCUUGAGUUUGGAUAUGAGUGAGGAGAGGGUGGCAUUUUAUGUCUUGUAAGAUGUAAAAGCAUGGAGGGAAAGAGCUGGUUUGAGGCUGCAUAGCAGCAUAUGCCUGGAAGGAAUGGGGUUAAAGCUAAGCAGAGUAGUAUGCCUGCUCCAUAGGAGAAAAAAUCUUGCAAACAAGAUGCAUUUAUCUGUAAGUGUGUUUUCCAAGACAACCAAAGAAAAUGCUAACAUGCAUGGACUUUCAAAAGUACUCUGUAAAAAAUAAAAAGAAAAAAGCAGUUGCUAGACCCUGGGUAGAAACAAUUUUCAUCUCUGAUAUUGUCUCUGAAUAUUUGGUGCGAAACACAGUGAUUUUGCUUGAAAAUACACGGGGCAGCCAAAAGCUUGUAGCCACUUGUGCCUUGCUGAGAUCAGCUUCCAUAAAACAGAGCUCCUUUAAAGGAGGUGCCACGCUGUCAGCACAUCUGUCUCGGGCAAGCGGAGGAAGCACUGGAGGGGGGGGAUUGCUGUUCAUUAAUUGCAUCAUAUUGAGCUUCCAGGCAGACUUGAGACGGCCAAAAGGUGGAGAUUUUUAGGUUCCUCCCCCUACUUUUCUAUCUCCUCCCCCCUUCCCAAAAUAAGUGUUUUGCCAAAACCUCCUUGUGGCAGAGCAAGGCUUUUAAAAGGAAAGUCAGGAACAAAGCAAGAAUUUUGGAGACUAGGUUAAUUCCAGUCCUUUCUUUUCUGAAAGGAAGACUUGUAAUGUGUGCAGUCUGUCAAGUCACUGCUUCUCAAGGUGAAAAUCCAAAAAAAAGUUAAACAUAUAAACAAUAAUAUUAUAGGGUCACAAGUCAUUACCCAGCCUUGUAAAUACAAGAGUUUUCAACUUCCAGUCAUUGAUCUAAGAACAAAAAUUGUAAGAACUGGGGACAUAGUCACACUUUGUUCUGUCGUAUUCAUGUGUGGAUUACUCAUGGAAAAAUUUCCUAUGCUUUCAACAGAAAUAUUUCUGAGGUAAAAUCUGUAGAAACUAGCUGAUACUUAAGAACUUUUAUAGCAUUAAGGGUUCAUUAAUAAAAUAAGCUCGUGGAUUUUGCAAUUUCUUUAUUAGAAAUGUAUACUUGACUAAUUUACUUAAUAUUGUGCCAGUGUUGUGCACUGUAAUCUUGUAUUUCUAGAUGUAAAAUGUGGUGAAGACUUUUCAAUGCAUCACAGCAGUUGCUUUUUGAAUGGAAAUAUAUUUACUACAAGUGUAGACAACUUAAUGUGUGAGACAAGACAUCUGCCAAGGAUGAAGUCUUGAAUUAAAUCCUAUUUUUAUCAAAGCUGUCAAUGUGUUAUGGCUUGAAGUGUUUUCUUCCUAAAAAAAAAAAAGGUGCCUUGAAGUUAUUUUUCUACUUCUUAGAUUGACCCUGUCCUUGACAUCUGGACAGACAGAAACAGGAAAUUAAUUCUUGGGGAUACAUGACAUCUGCCGCAAGAUUCUUGAAAUGAAAUGCACCUGAA